rnacentral:misc_RNA from 1 species
UUUCCGUAGGUGAACCUGCGGAAGGAUCAUUAAAAAAUUGGACUCCAUUGGUGAGUUCAUUAAUAAUCCCUACCCUUUGUGAAUUUGUUUGUUUGAAUAAUUUUUUUUCCAAAAAAAAUUAUUGAAUGUCUUUCCUGUUUUGGUGGAGCUUGUAAAGUGAAACCAGGCAGGGGAAUGGCAAACAAUAAUUAUUUUUGAAAAAGACCUUUUUUAAAAUUAAACUUUUUGUAUUCAUUUGUCUAAAAUUAUUUUUAUAAUAUAAAAACAACUUUUGACAAUGGAUCUCUUGGUUCUCGCAACGAUGAAGAACGCAGCAAAAUGCGAUAAGUAGUGUGAAUUGCAGAAUACGCGAAUCAUCGAAUCUUCGAACGCAUAUUGCACUUUUUUAGUUUACUAAAAAAGUAUGUCUGUUUGAGUAUCAGUAAAAUAUUCUCAUAAAAAAUUUAUUUUUUAUGGUUAUGAGUGUUUUACAACGAUAACAAGUUGUUUCACCUUAAAUUCUUUGUUAUCAAAGAAAUCAUUAAAAGCUAAUUUUAAAGAUUUUUUAAAAUUGGAUAAAAUUUUCCCGUAAAAAGGAAUAACCUAAACAAUUUUAAAAAAUUAAAAUUGGUUUGAUUUUUCUUGAUUUAAAAAGGAAAAAAAAGUAAAAAUUAACUUGAUCUCAAAUCAGAUAAGAGUACCCGCUGAACUUAAGCAUAUCAAUAAGCGGAGGAAAAGAAACUAACUAGGAUUCCCUCAGUAACGGCGAGUGAAGCGGGAAGAGCUCAAAUUUGAAAUCUUCAAGGUUUUACCUUGACGAAUUGUAGUUUAAAGAAGUGUUUUCUGUUGGAGUUUUGGUAAAAGUUCUUUGGAAAAGGACAUCAUAGAGGGUGAGAAUCCCGUAUUUGACCAUUAUCUCCAGCUUUGUGAUACACUUUCAAAGAGUCGGAUUGUUUGGGAAUGCAGUCCAAAAUGGGUGGUAAAUUUCAUCUAAAGCUAAAUACUGGCGAGAGACCGAUAGCGAACAAGUACCGUGAGGGAAAGAUGAAAAGAACUUUGAAAAGAGAGUUAAACAGUACGUGAAAUUGUCAAAAGGGAAGCGUUUGACACCAGUGUUGUUUUCUCGAAAAUCAAUUAAAAAAGGCCGGAUUUUGUGUUGUAUUGACUUUAUCAGAUUUCUGCACUUUUUUCUUGUCUUUUUUAAUGCACUUUUCGUUUAACAAGUCAACAUCAAUUUCUUUUGUUGUAAAAGGGUCAUUGGAAGGUGGCUUUCUUUUCGGAGAAAGUGUUUAUAGCCUUUGGCCUCUGCAAUCGGAGAGAUUGAGGUCUGCAGCGUAGAUCCUUCGGGGUUAGAUACAUUUGUGCUAAGUUAUAGCCUUUCAUAGACAACUUGUUGACUAUGAUCAGUCAUGUAGCUUACUCGCUUAUGCUAUUUUACCUACGCUUAGGAUGUUGAG